UACGGGGGGAGCAAGCGUUGUUCGGAUUUACUGGGCGUAAAGGGCGCGUAGGCGGUCACGACAAGUCAGUUGUGAAAUCUCCGGGCUUAACUCGGAACGGUCAACUGGUACUGUCGGACUAGAGUGCAGAAGGGGCAACUGGAAUUCUCGGUGUAGCGGUGAAAUGCGUAGAUAUCGAGAGGAACACCUGCGGCGAAGGCGGGUUGCUGGGCUGACACUGACGCUGAGGCGCGAAAGCUAGGGGAGCGAACGGG
rnacentral:rRNA from 1 species